rnacentral:piRNA from 1 species
UGGGAUUAAAUGCCUGAGCCAUUCUAACC